UACGUAGGUGGCAAGCGUUGUCCGGAAUUAUUGGGCGUAAAGCGUGCGCAGGCGGUUGUGCAAGACAGGGGUGAAAUCCCCGGGCUUAACCUGGGAACUGCAUUUGUGACUGCACGGCUGGAGUGCGGCAGAGGGGGAUGGAAUUCCGCGUGUAGCAGUGAAAUGCGUAGAUAUGCGGAGGAACACCGAUGGCGAAGGCAAUCCCCUGGGCCUGCACUGACGCUCAUGCACGAAAGCGUGGGGAGCAAACAGG
rnacentral:rRNA from 1 species